rnacentral:rRNA from 1 species
UACGAAGGGUGCAAGCGUUAAUCGGAAUUACUGGGCGUAAAGCGCGCGUAGGUGGUUUGUUAAGUUGGAUGUGAAAGCCCCGGGCUCAACCUGGGAACUGCAUCCAAAACUGGCAAGCUAGAGUAUGGCAGAGGGUGGUGGAAGUUCCUGUGGAGCGGUGAAAUGCGGAGCUAGAGGAAGGAAAACCAGUGGCGAAGGCGACCACCUGGGAUAAUACUUACACUGAGUUGCGAAAGCGUGGAUAGCCAACAGGAUUAGAUACCCCUGUAGUCC